rnacentral:rRNA from 1 species
CGUAGGGUGCGAGCGUUAAUCGGAAUUACUGGGCGUAAAGCGUGCGCAGGCGGUUUUGUAAGACAGGCGUGAAAUCCCCGGGCUCAACCUGGGAACUGCGCUUGUGACUGCUAAGGCUAGAGUACGGCAGAGGGGGUGGAAUUCCACGUGUAGCAGUGAAAUGCGUAGAGAUGUGGAGGAACACCAAUGGCGAAGGCAGCCCCCUGGGUCGAUACUGACGCUCAUGCACGAAAGCGUGGGUAGCAAACAGGAUUAGAUACCCUGGUAGUCCACGCCCUAAACGAUGUCAACUAGGUGUUGGGAGGGUAAAACCUUUUAGUACCGGAGCUAACGCGUGAAGUUGACCGCCUGGGGAGUACGGCCGCAAGGUUA